ensembl:lncRNA
CCAGAGUGUUUACCUUUACAUUCGGUAUAUGCCAGAGUGUUUACCUUUACAUUCGGUAUAUGCCAGAGUGUUUACCUUUACAUUCAGUACAUGCCAGAGUGUUUACCUUUACAUUCAGUAUAUGCCAGAGUGUUUACCUUUACAUUCAGUAUUUGCUUUGUUUACGUUUGAACUGGUCCAUUGCCAUUAUUUUCCAAAGUUUUUACAGAUAAUACCGCCAUGAGAUUCUAUGAUGAUUAGUUAUGUUGAACCUCUCCCUCUAAUGGAAUUCCUCUACUGAAUUCUACAUAUUUAACACCAAACAAAUUGCAAUCUGACAUGGUCUAUAGUAGGCAUCUGUUGUAUACUAAAAUAUGCCACCACUUUAUUAGACAUUGGUAUUUUCCACUAGCUGAUUACAUAUUUAGCAUGAAGAAACAGAGGAGGGACAAACAACAGAUGGUCUCCAUUCAGUGUUGUUUACUGCCAAGUGUAUGUAUUGCAGAGAAUUUUUUUUUAUUCAUUUUAAACACUUCAGGCACUCUAAGCUCACAUGCAGUCUUCACCUAAUUUAAAACAUAUUGUGCAUGAAGUGUACCACUCACAUGUCAUACGUAACCCAUUAAAACUGGAUCCAUCUUUGUUCAGUUUUUCAUGUCAUCAAGUUCUAUAGGUAGCUGUCCUUCCAGGAAGUCUUAACCUUCACGCUGUUUCCUGUAUUUUUGCUUGUGAUGUCAGUCGCUUGAUACAAAAUGGAUUGUCAUGAUCUAUUGGAAGCCUCUCUUCCUGGUAUUCUCUGGAGUAAGAUUACGCAAUUUCCAUGACUUCUCCAACAUUUCAACUUGACUACGCUCUGAUGCCAGUGAUCCAUGUGUUUUCGUUGCACCUUAAAGUAUUUCUUGACAUGACAGUACCCAUUGGAAUGUCAACUGGAUGAUGUUUACAGACUGGUUUGUUAAAAUAUAUUUCCAAAAGACCAUUCAUACCUAACUGAAUCAAUUAUGGAUGCAUUUUAAAAUAUGCAUUUAAAUUGUGCCUGAAUUGGACCGUGGAUAUGCCUUUGUAAUUACUGUAUUAUACAUGUGAAAUGGACAUUGUACCAAUAAAAUUUCUACUAUACUAUAGCGCUUUUCUCCAAAC